AUUGAACGCUGGCGGCAGGCCUAACACAUGCAAGUCGAGCGGAUGAAGGGAGCUUGCUCCUGGAUUCAGCGGCGGACGGGUGAGUAAUGCCUAGGAAUCUGCCUGGUAGUGGGGGAUAACGUCCGGAAACGGGCGCUAAUACCGCAUACGUCCUGAGGGAGAAAGUGGGGGAUCUUCGGACCUCACGCUAUCAGAUGAGCCUAGGUCGGACUAGCUAGUUGGUGGGGUAAAGGCCUACCAAGGCGACGAUCCGUAACUGGUCUGAGAGGAUGAUCAGUCACACUGGAACUGAGACACGGUCCAGACGCCUACGGGAGGCAGCAGUGGGGAAUAUUGGACAAUGGGCGAAAGCCUGAUCCAGCCAUGCCGCGUGUGUGAAGAAGGUCUUCGGAUUGUAAAGCACUUUAAGUUGGGAGGAAGGGCAGUAAGUUAAUACCUUGCUGUUUUGACGGUACCAACAGAAUAAGCACCGGCUAACUUCGUG
rnacentral:rRNA from 1 species